UGAGAGGUGUCCGAGUGGUCGAAGGAGCACGCCUGGAAAGUGUGUAUAGCCCAAAAGGUUAUCGUGGGUUCGAAUCCCAUCCUCUCAG
rnacentral:tRNA from 1 species